GAUGAACGCUGGCGGCAUGCCUAAGACAUGCAAGUCGUACGAAGCGGCCCAAUGAAGAUGGAGUGCUUGCACAAAGUUGGAUUUGGAUUUCCGCUUAGUGGCAAACGGGUGAGUAACACGUGGGUUACCUACCUCUAAGUUGGGGAUACCAGUUGGAAACGACUGCUAAUACCGCAUAACGUGUAUUUACCGCAUGAUAGAUACACCAAAGUAGCAAUCCGCUGAAAGAUGGACUCGCGUCCGAUUAGAUAGUUGCGGGUAAGGCCCACCAAGUCGACGAUCGGUAGCCGGACUGAGAGGUUGAACGGCCACAUUGGGACUGAGACACGGCCCAGACUCCUACGGGA
rnacentral:rRNA from 1 species